AGAGUUUGAUCCUGGCUCAGAACGAACGCUGGCGGCGUGGAUAAGACAUGCAAGUGGAACGCUGGUGCUUAAGUAGCAAUAUUUAAGCGUUGGAGUCGCGUAAGGGUGCGUAACACGUGGGUAAUUUGCCGCGAAGACCGGAAUAACUUGCUGAAAGGCGAGCUAAUACCGGAUAUGAUUUCUGAGAGGCAUCUUUUGGAAAUCAAAGCUGGGGACCGCAAGGCCUGGCGCUUCGCGAUAAGCCCGCGGCCUAUCAGCUAGUUGGUGAGGUUAUGGCUCACCAAGGCGAAGACGGGUAGCUGGUCUGAGAGGACGACCAGCCACACUGGAACUGAGACACGGUCCAGACACCUACGGGUGGCAGCAGUCGAGAAUUUUUCACAAUGGGCGAAAGCCUGAUGGAGCGACGCCGCGUGGGGGAUGAAUGGCUUCGGCCCGUAAACCCCUGUCAUUUGCGAACAAACCUUGUCCGAUAACACCGGACAGGCUGAUUGUAGCGAAAGAGAAGGAC
rnacentral:rRNA from 1 species